AGCGAACGCUGGCGGCAGGCUUAACACAUGCAAGUCGAACGGGCGUAGCAAUACGUCAGUGGCAGACGGGUGAGUAACGCGUGGGAACGUACCUUUUGGUUCGGAACAACCCAGGGAAACUUGGGCUAAUACCGGAUAAGCCCUUACGGGGAAAGAUUUAUCGCCGAAAGAUCGGCCCGCGUCUGAUUAGCUAGUUGGUGUGGUAACGGCGCACCAAGGCGACGAUCAGUAGCUGGUCUGAGAGGAUGAUCAGCCACAUUGGGACUGAGACACGGCCCAAACUCCUACGGGAGGCAGCAGUGGGGAAUAUUGGACAAUGGGCGCAAGCCUGAUCCAGCCAUGCCGCGUGAGUGAUGAAGGCCCUAGGGUUGUAAAGCUCUUUUGUGCGGGAAGAUAAUGACGGUACCGCAAGAAUAAGCCCCGGCUAACUUCGUGCCAGCAGCCGCCGCAGUAAU
rnacentral:rRNA from 1 species